AGUGUUGGCGGUGCUGGUGGUUCGCCGGGCACUGCCGUGCCGGGCGAGGCAAGAGGGAAUCCGGUGGAAGUCCGGGACUGCCCCGCAGCGGUGAGCGUGGAACGACCGCCGUCAUGAGCACUGGGCCCGGCCCGCGGGCCCGGGAAGCGACGGCCAGUAGAAGUCCUCCGUACCCAUGCGCGUACGGCCGGGGCGUGCCCGCGAGUCCGAAGACCUGCCACCGGCGCGUGCGCCGA
rnacentral:ncRNA from 2 species